rnacentral:rRNA from 1 species
AUUGAACGCUGGCGGCAGGCUUAACACAUGCAGGUCGAGCGGAGAUGAGGUGCUUGCACCUUAUCUUAGCGGCGGACGGGUGAGUAAUGCUUAGGAAUCUGCCUAUUAGUGGGGGACAACAUUCCGAAAGGAAUGCUAAUACCGCAUACGCCCUACGGGGGAAAGCAGGGGAUCUUCGGACCUCGCGCUAAUAGAUGAGCCUAAGUCGGAUUAGCUAGUUGGUGGGGUAAAGGCCUACCAAGGCGACGAUCUGUAGCGGGUCUGAGAGGAUGAUCCGCCACACUGGGACCGAGACACGGCCCAGACUCCUACGGGAGGCAGCAGUGGGGAAUAUUGGACAAUGGGCGGAAGCCUGAUCCAGCCAUGCCGCGUGUGUGAAGAAGGCCUUUUGGUUGUAAAGCACUUUAAGCGAGGAGGAGGCUACCUGGAUUAAUACUCUAGGAUAGUGGACGUUACUCGCAGAAUAAGCACCGGCUAACUCUGUGCCAGCAGCCGCCGUAACAC